GUGCUCACUUCAGCAGCAUAUAUAAUAAAAUUGGAACAAAACAACAAAGAUUAGCAUGGCCCCUGAGCAAGGAUGAUACACAAAUUUGUGAAGCAUUCUAUAUUUUU